GAUAAACGCUGGCGGCGUGCAUGAGACAUGCAAGUCGAACGAAGGAUCGGGCUUGCUCGAUCCUUAGUGGCGGACGGCUGAGUAACGCGUAGGUGACCUACCCCGAAGUGGGGAAUAACUGCCCGAAAGGGUGGCUAAUACCGCAUGUGGUCGCACGUUCAUUCGUGUGAGUAAAGCCGCAAGGCGCUUCGGGAGGGGCCUGCGUCCGAUUAGCUCGUUGGUGGGGUAAUGGCUUACCAAGGCGACGAUCGGUAGGUGGUCUGAGAGGACGAUCACCCAGACUGGGACUGAGACACGGCCCAGACUCCUACGGGAGGCAGCAGUCGGGAAUUUUGCUCAAUGGGGGAAACCCUGAAGCAGCAACGCCGCGUGAGGGAUGAAGGCCUUCGGGUUGUAAACCUCUUUUGUCAGGGACGAUGAUGACGGUACCUGGCGAAUAAGCCACGGCUAACUACGUG
rnacentral:rRNA from 1 species